rnacentral:rRNA from 1 species
UACGUAGGGGGCAAGCGUUGUCCGGAUUUAUUGGGCGUAAAGAGCGUGUAGGCGGCCUGAAAGGUCAGCUGUGAAAACUCGAGGCUCAACCUCGAGACGUCGGUUGAAACCAUCUGGCUAGAGUCCGGAAGAGGAGUGUGGAAUUCCCGGUGUAGCGGUGAAAUGCGCAGAUAUCGGGAAGAACACCGGUGGCGAAGGCGGGUCUCUGGGCAGUAACUGACGCUGAGGAGCGAAAGCGUGGGGAGCGAACAGG